CCUACGGGUGGCAGCAGUCGAGAAUUUUUCACAAUGGGGGAAACCCUGAUGGAGCGACGCCGCGUGGAGGAUGAAGGUUUUCGGAUUGUAAACUCCUGUCAUUAGAGAACAAGGCGCACGGUUUAACUGGCCGUGCGUUGAUAGUAUCUGAAGAGGAAGAGACGGCUAACUCUGUGCCAGCAGCCGCGGUAAUACAGAGGUCUCAAGCGUUGUUCGGAUUCAUUGGGCGUAAAGGGUGCGUAGGUGGCGGCGUAAGUCGGGUGUGAAAUCUCCAAGCUUAACUUGGAAACUGCACUCGAUACUGCGUCGCUCGAGGACUGUAGAGGGCAUUGGAAUUCACGGUGUAGCAGUGAAAUGCGUAGAUAUCGUGAGGAAGACCAGUGGCGAAGGCGAAUGCCUGGGCAGUUCCUGACACUGAGGCACGAAGGCCAGGGGAGCAAACGGGAUUAGAUACCCUUGUAGUC
rnacentral:rRNA from 1 species